CAGUGGGGAAGACUCCUGUUAAUUUAGAUCACUUCAAUUCCCAAGUAUGUGUUGUUACAAGAGUUUUGAUUCUUCUUCAUUUAUUCAUAUAGGUGGCGGCUUCAGGAGAAGGUUCCUCUAUCAAUGGGUAUCUCAGUAGAUGCAAGAGAGGGAAAAGGCACUGGAAAAAGUUGUGGUUUGUUAUCAAAGGAAAGGUGCUCUACACAUACACAGCAAAUGAAGAUAAAGUCGCCACUGAGAGUAUGCCUUUGCUGGGUUUCACAAUUGUCCCAGAAAAGGAAGAUCGAAAUAUGGAUGCAGUUUUCCAUCUUUACCACAAGCAAACUCUGUUUUAUAGCUUCCGAGCAGAGGAUAAUAAUUCAGCACAGAGAUGGAUUGAAGCCAUGGAGGAAGCAUCUAUAUUAUAGCAUCAUCCAAGUGGAUUCUGAUUUAAUGCAAGAUUACCCAUAUAUUGAAAAGAACAAUAUAUAUAAUCCAAAUCUGGCUAAACAUAUGAAAAAGAAUAUGUAGAAGCCUAUAAUUUUUCCAUUCUUAAACCUAUCUCCUUGCUGAUGGAAACAAAACAAAGGGAAUAUUUAUGGACCCUUUUUAUCUUUGCAGGUUUAUCACUAAACUGUGCUCUCAUCUAACAGUUGCAUCAUGUUUUCAAGAAGUUAAACAUAUGCAUUUCUUCUAAAAGAGUUGUUUUCUCAUAACUCUGUUUUAUUUUCUUUAAGAUAACAAUUUGAUUUGUGCCAGUCAUAAAACUGAGGGUUUUUUUACAUUAAAAUUUUGUUGCCUUUCUUCUUUUUUUUGAUUUUUAAAAAUAAACAGGAGAUUCUUUCUUCUUUCUUGAAAGAGGUUUACACUGGCGUGCAGUUAAGAAUGCAAGGAUGAAGGGAUAUACAUAAUCUCUACCAUAGAAAGUAUGUGAAAAUCUAUUCCAGGCUGGCAUUAGACCAUCUAUGGUAAUUGUAUAGCAUUUCUCAUAAACAGUGGUAACACCUUAGUUUUGUUUAUUAGGACUCUUAAUCCACUUCAAAUUCCAACCGAGUUUUUAUGAAGACUGUACCAGUUUCUACUCCAAAGGAUAUUAAAACAUUAAUUUAUUAUAAGCCUUUACAUUUUGUUUAAAAUUGAUUUAUCUAAAUUAUAUUAUUUUAAUAGCCGAGAGGAGCAGAUCUUAUUUAUAAAUCUUAUUCCUAAAAUAUAAUUCUAAACCCAAAACAGUCAUCAACUUCAGAAAGGAGGAGCAUUUAACUAUAUUUAUUUAGUCAACUAGAAAAGCUCUGGAAAGCCUUGCCUAAAUCUUAUCUUCAACAGUUAUAUAGGAUGUCAUUCGAUUGGAGCAACCAAUAUUAUUAAUGCUAUUAUCAGCUCAAAAAUGAUAAUUCAGAUUCCAUUGUAUUUAGCCAGCUGAUCAAAUGCAAGCAUACUGUAGUUGUUGCUAUAACUACUACUUCUAAUAAAAUUCAUGGAUACUAUUUGGCAGUAGCCAUAGCACCUCACAAUUGCAUUCAUACAACAUGCUUAACCAGGUCAAUUACAGUUUUAACAGCUGCAAUUGUACCAAAUGCUGAAUUAGUGUUAGACUUGAUUUGCUUUCUUUCAUGACUAAACUAAGUCAAUUCAGUUAGUUUACAGUCCAGUUUAUUUCACAAACCUGAAUAUGAGUUAAUCAGUUAAUUCGUUAACCAAAUUAUGAUGUUCUAUGAUGGUAGACACAUUAUGCUCCGAGUACAAGUAAUCAAGGUCUUUAAAAUUUAGCUGUCAUUAAAAUUUAGAUUAUGUGCAUAGCCUAAAGGCCAGGUUUUCAAUAUGAUGGGGUUGUGCAAAGCAUUUGAAAAAGAUGUCUUGCAAAGUAUGAUAAAUGUAAGCAGAACACCCCUCCUUGAAACAUUACUGUAAAGCAAAGCAGCUGUGUCUUCUUGAAAAUUUGCAGAGUUGCUUCCAAAGCUGUCCUUAGCUGGCAGUGCAUCCACAAAAAUAUACAGAGACCCACUGAGACUACAAACAAAACCAAGAGGUCAUAUGUGCACCACACGUGCCCAGAUGGCAUGAAACACUCACCUGAGCCUUCCAAAGAAUGCAGCCGCUUGAACCCAUGACAGAAGACCACUUAUAUCAACACACCUCCCAAACCAUCUCCAAACCACCAAAUACUUAGCACGGCAAUGAAACAGAAUACCAGCAAUCAAAGGGAGAUAAACUAUCUUGUCUCAAAAUAUUUUAUAUUCAAAUAAGGUUUAAGGACUACUAGAGCAACACUAAUGUGAUGCAUGAUUUGUUGCAGAAACAUUCUGCUACCCAAAAAGUGUUUAGGGUGGAGAUUUCAGCAUUGUGCUAUUAAAACAGCAUAACCAAUAUUAUUGCAAAACUGAUACAAUUCUGCUUGCCAUGAGGAAGCAUGAUGAUGAUAGGGAGCUUCGAAACACCAUUCUCAAAAUACAAGAUUUAAUACCUUUCAAUGAAACAGAUUUCCAUUUUUUAGCCUUUGAAGAUUUCAGAUGUACAGUAAGAUACACUUGUUAAAUAUCUCUAGUAUUUAUAUUCAGGACCAUGACCUGAUCUGCUAAUUAAACUUUGAACUGGAAUAAUUUCUUUCCUCUUUGUAUAAAGGUUUACAUUUUGUUUUUCAAAUGAACUCAUUUGUUUCAAUUCAAGACUGUAAAUGGCCCAGGGAGGGGAGGGAACACAACAAUGUAUGAAGUUUUACCAUUUCAUUAUUUCAACAUUUUUUUCUUUAGUUCAUGAUGUCAGUAUAGAAAAAUGAAAAUAAAAAUUUAAGACUCGCUUGGGUGACAGGUUACGAAUUUGACCUUGUUACCUACUUACAGAACUUACAAUAUGUAAAAGAAAUGGAAGACUGCAAUAAUAAAUAAAUAAAUAAAAAUGCACUGACAGAAGCAAUGUUUAAAUACCAAAUGUAAACCACUCAGUAAUGAAAGCUGCAAUCUAUUGUACUCAAGGGUUUUCAGACAGCACUGUAAGCAAGACUGAAAACUGAACAUGCAGUACAGAACAAUUCUUAUGACAUUUUGGUGCUGGCAUUAACUGUUGUAUUAAGCCUACAGAAAAAAAACUACUACUCAAAUUGUUGUAAAAAUAUAUUAAUUUUUGUUUUAAGAAACAUGAAAAAUAAAAUGACCAAGAAGUCCGUAGAAGUUUGUUAGUAUUUAUCUAUUGUGUCAGUGGUUCACAGGUUAAUUAUAUUCACAGUAUGUAGAAGUGAUGGAUGAG
rnacentral:lncRNA from 1 species